rnacentral:rRNA from 1 species
UACGUAGGGGGCAAGCGUUGUCCGGAAUCAUUGGGCGUAAAGCGCGUGUAGGCGGCUCGAUAAGUCUGCUGUGAAAGUCCAGGCUCAACCCUGGAAAGCCGGUGGAUACUGUCGGACUAGAGUGCGGAAGAGGCGAGUGGAAUUCCCGGUGUAGCGGUGAAAUGCGCAGAUAUCGGGAGGAACACCAAUUGCGAAGGCAGCUCGCUGGGACGUUACUGACGCUGAGACGCGAAAGCGUGGGGAGCAAACAGG